rnacentral:tRNA from 1 species
GCCAAAGUAGCACAGUGGUAGUGCAACUGAUUCGUAAUCAGUAGGUCGUAGGUUCAAUUCCUAUCUUUGGCACCA